CCCUUAGACGUUCUGGGCCGCACACGCGCUACACUGACCAGUGCAACAAGCAUCCGUCCUUGGCCGACAGGCCCGGGCAAUCUUUGAACGCUGGUCGUGAUGGGGAUAGACUUUUGCAAUUUUUGGUCUUCAACGAGGAAUUCCUAGUAAACGCAAGUCAUCAACUUGCAUUGAUUACGUCCCUGCCCUUUGUACACACCGCCCGUCGCACCUACCGAUUGAAUGGUCCGGUGAAGCCUCCGGAUUGGCGCGCACCUCGGUGCCGCCGAGAAGUUGGCUAAACCUUACCAUUUAGAGGAAGGUGAANUCGUAACA
rnacentral:rRNA from 1 species